rnacentral:lncRNA from 1 species
AUAUUAUUUUUAAUAUAAAAAAUUAGAUUAGAUCUGAUUUUCAUCAUAAAAAAUCAAAGAAAAAAGUUUUUUUUAAAGAUGUGGAAGGAAGAGAGAAAGGUUCUCUUUUAUGUGUAGAAGAAUUGAGAAGAAGUGAUUCUUCUUUUGAUCUCUAUCGUAGAGAUUUGAUGCGUGGAUCCAAAAAAAAAAAGAAAAUCUCUUUAUUCUUCAUCUUCUUUAUGUUUCUCUUAGAUCAGUCAAAAUAUGGUAUCUUUGUGAGCUAGCACUCCCAGG